GGCAAGAGGAAGCUCUGCCUUUGGCUGUCUGCAUUGGCAUGCCUGAUCCUUGAUUUCUCAGCCUCGCCUCCACCAUCAAGGUGAAGUUCUACAGGCCAAGUGGCAUUGAUGCUCAGCUGGAGCCCACGUUCCACUUCUGCGCCAUGCUCCCAAUACCUGAGACUCCAGGAGGCCCUGUCUAAACAGGUCCACAUUGACCUCCAGGGACUGAAAUGUUGAUGUGGCAGAAGUUCAUCGUGAACCAUGCUGAGGAAGGCAACAUCUGUGAGGAUGGUGGAGAAUUACAUGGGCAGAAAAUGAAUCCAUAGAAGAAAAAUCACAGAGCAAAGCCUCACCUGCUUAGGCUGUUUGGACUUUUAAAUUGUUCCAUGUGCAAAAGUCAAACUUAAGACAUGGUCUUUUGUUUGCUUGCUUGUUUUCCAGCAGUUUAGUCUUUAUCCUAUUAAAACCACUUAGAAAAUA